rnacentral:rRNA from 1 species
CCUACGGGAGGCAGCAGUGGGGAAUAUUGCACAAUGGGCGAAAGCCUGAUGCAGCAACGCCGCGUGAAGGAAGACGGUUUUCGGAUUGUAAACUUCUGUUUUUAGUGAAGUAUAAUGACGGUAACUAAGGAGCAAGCCACGGCUAACUACGUGCCAGCAGCCGAGGUAAUACGCAGGUGGCAAGCGUUGUCCGGAAUUACUGGGUGUAAAGGGAGCGUAGGCGGGAAUGCAAGUCAGCUGUGAAAACUACGGGCUUAACCUGUAGACUGCAGUUGAAACUGGCUUUCUUGAGUGAAGUAGAGGUUGGCGGAAUUCCGGGUGUAGCGGUGAAAUGCUUAGAUAUUCGGAGGAACACCGGUGGCGAAGGCGGCCAACUGGGCUUUAACUGACGCUGAGGCUCGAAAGUGUGGGGAGCAAACAGGAUUAGAUACCCGUGUAGUC